CCUACGGGAGGCUGCAGUGAGGAAUAUUGGUCAAUGGGCGCGAGCCUGAACCAGCCAAGCCGCGUGAAGGAUGACUGCCCUACGGGUUGUAAACUUCUUUUAUAAAGGAAUAAAGUGAGGCACGUGUGCCUUUUUGUAUGUACUUUAUGAAUAAGGAUCGGCUAACUCCGUGCCAGCAGCCGCGGUAAUACGGAGGAUCCGAGCGUUAUCCGGAUUUAUUGGGUUUAAAGGGUGCGUAGAUGGGUUGUUAAGUCAGUUGUGAAAGGUUGCGGCUCAACCGUAAAAUUGCAGUUGAUACUGGCAGUCUUGAGUACAGUUGAGGUAGGCGGAAUGCGUGGUGUAGCGGUGAAAUGCUUAGAUAUCACGAAGAACUCCGAUUGCGAAGGCAGCUUACUAAACUGCCACUGACAUUGAGGCACGAAAGUGUGGGUAUCAAACAGGAUUAGAUACCCCAGUAGUC
rnacentral:rRNA from 1 species